AUGAACGGGAUGAACGGGAGGAGGUGUACGAACGGGGAGGAGAGGGAAGAGUCGCCGGCGACCCCCUUGAAGCCAGAUGGCCCUCGACCCGGGGACAGAGAAGACGCCCCCGGGAUGGCGAAGUGCAGAUCCGAAGCCGGGCAGCUGUCGAUGGACGGCGAAGGGGCCGAUCCGGUGAGACGGUGGUUGGCAAGGGGGAGGCCGGAUCUGAAACGGCGAGGGUGUGUUGGGGCGGGAGCGCGGUGGCCAGCUCCGUUGCUGUGCGGCCGGUGGGAUGUCGUGGGGGGCUCGGCCGACUGGGCGGCCAGCGCAAUGUGGUGGGGGCGUGGCCGAUGGGAGGAGGAAGUUGGGGGAGGCGGGUCGUGGGUCGGGCCGUUGGCUAUAGGAUGGUGGUGCAGUGGCGACGCGGGAGAAGCGGGGGAGGUGGUGGUGCAGCGACGGUGCGGGAGAAGCAGGGAAGGUGGUGGUCCGGCGGCGGGGUGGGGGUGA
rnacentral:rRNA from 1 species